rnacentral:rRNA from 1 species
AUUGAACGCUGGCGGCAGGCCUAACACAUGCAAGUCGAGCGGAUGAAGGGAGCUUGCUCCUGGAUUCAGCGGCGGACGGGUGAGUAAUGCCUAGGAAUCUGCCUGGUAGUGGGGGAUAACGUCCGGAAACGGGCGCUAAUACCGCAUACGUCCUGAGGGAGAAAGUGGGGGAUCUUCGGACCUCACGCUAUCAGAUGAGCCUAGGUCGGAUUAGCUAGUUGGUGGGGUAAAGGCCUACCAAGGCGACGAUCCGUAACUGGUCUGAGAGGAUGAUCAGUCACACUGGAACUGAGACACGGUCCAGACUCAUACGGGAGGCAGCAGUGGGGAAUAGUGGACAAUGGGCGAAAGCCUGAUCCAGCCAUGCCGCGUGUGUGAAGAAGGUCUUCGGAUUGUAAAGCACUUUAAGUUGGGAGGAAGGGCAGUAAGUUAAUACCUUGCUGUUUUGACGUUACCAACAGAAUAAGCACCGGCUAACUUCGUG